rnacentral:rRNA from 2 species
AGAUUGAACGCUGGCGGCAGGCCUAACACAUGCAAGUCGAGCGGAAACGAGUUAUCUGAACCUUCGGGGAACGAUAACGGCGUCGAGCGGCGGACGGGUGAGUAAUGCCUAGGAAAUUGCCCUGAUGUGGGGGAUAACCAUUGGAAACGAUGGCUAAUACCGCAUAACGCCUACGGGCCAAAGAGGGGGACCUUCGGGCCUCUCGCGUCAGGAUAUGCCUAGAUGGGAUUAGCUAGUUGGUGAGGUAAGGGCUCACCAAGGCGACGAUCCCUAGCUGGUCUGAGAGGAUGAUCAGCCACACUGGAACUGAGACACGGUCCAGACUCCUACGGGAGGCAGCAGUGGGGAAUAUUGCACAAUGGGCGCAAGCCUGAUGCAGCCAUGCCGCGUGUGUGAAGAAGGCCUUCGGGUUGUAAAGCACUUUCAGUCGUGAGGAAGGUAGUGUAGUUAAUAGCUGCAUUAUUUGACGUUAGCGACAGAAGAAGCACCGGCUAACUCCGUGCCAGCAGCCGCGGUAAUACGGAGGGUGCGAGCGUUAAUCG